UGGGCGUUAAGUUGCAGGGUAUAGACCCGAAACCCGGUGAUCUAGCCAUGGGCAGGUUGAAGGUUGGGUAACACUAACUGGAGGACCGAACCGACUAAUGUUGAAAAAUUAGCGGAUGACCUGUGGCUGGGGGUGAAAGGCCAAUCAAACCGGGAGAUAGCUGGUUCUCCCCGAAAGCUAUUUAGGUAGCGCCUCGUGAAUUCAUCUCCGGGGGUAGAGCACUGUUUCGGCUAGGGGGCCAUCCCGGCUUACCAACCCGAUGCAAACUGCGAAUACCGGAGAAUGUUAUCACGGGAGACACACGGCGGGUGCUAACGUCCGUCGUGAAGAGGGAAACAACCCAGACCGCCAGCUAAGGUCCCAAAGUCAUGGUUAAGUGGGAAACGAUGUGGGAAGGCCCAGACAGCCAGGAUGUUGGCUUAGAAGCAGCCAUCAUUUAAAGAAAGCGUAAUAGCUCACUGGUCGAGUCGGCCUGCGCGGAAGAUGUAACGGGGCUAAACCAUGCACCGAAGCUGCGGCAGCGACACUUU
rnacentral:rRNA from 1 species